rnacentral:rRNA from 1 species
AACGAACGCUGGCGGCAGGCCUAACACAUGCAAGUCGAGCGCCCCGCAAGGGGAGCGGCAGACGGGUGAGUAACGCGUGGGAAUUUACCCAAUGGUACGGAAUAGCCCAGGGAAACUUGGAGUAAUACCGUAUAAGCCCGAAAGGGGAAAGAUUUAUCGCCAUUGGAUGAGCCCGCGUUGGAUUAGCUAGUUGGUGAGGUAACGGCUCACCAAGGCGACGAUCCAUAGCUGGUCUGAGAGGAUGAUCAGCCACACUGGGACUGAGACACGGCCCAGACUCCUACGGGAGGCAGCAGUGGGGAAUAUUGGACAAUGGGCGCAAGCCUGAUCCAGCCAUGCCGCGUGAGUGACGAAGGUCUUCGGAUUGUAAAGCUCUUUUGGCGGGGACGAUAAUGACGGUACCCGCAGAAUAAGCCCCGGCUAACUUCGUGCCAGCAGCCGCCGUAAUAC